CGGACAGGUGAGUAUAACGCGAGAACAUGCCCUUUGGAGGGGGAUAGUUUCGGGAAACUGAAAGUAAUACCCCAUAUAGCAGAAAUGCAAAAGGCUUUUUAGAUUAAGUGGUAUUUUAUAAUGUUUUAUAUAUGUAUGACAUUGUAAAAAUAUCGCCGUCUACUUAGUCGCCGAAGGAUUGGCUUGCGCCAAGAUUAUGGUUGUAGGGUAAAGGCCUACGAUUUAACAUCUUGUAGUUGGUCUGGAAGGACGAACAGCCACACUGGGACUGAGAUAAGGCCCAGACCCCUUAGGGGGGCAGCAGUGGGGAAUAUUGGACAGUUAGGGAAACCUAGAUCCAGGUAUACCGCGUGGGUGACGAAGCGCUGCGGCGCGUAAAACCCUUUUAUUUAAGAAUUAUUCUUUUAUGAAUAAGCACCGGCUAAUCUCGUGCCAGCAGCCGCGGUGAUACGAGAGGUGCAAGCGUUGUUCGGAUUUAUUGGGUGUAAAGGGUGCGUAGAUGGCUUAGUAAGUCUUAGGUAAAAAAUGGAGCUCAACUCCCAUUGAUCUUAAUGAUACUGCUUUGCUUGAGAAUGGGAGAGGUAAAUGGAAUUUCU
rnacentral:rRNA from 1 species